rnacentral:rRNA from 1 species
AACGAACGCUGGCGGCAUGCCUAACACAUGCAAGUCGAACGAAGCCUUCGGGCUUAGUGGCGCACGGGUGCGUAACGCGUGGGAAUCUGCCCUUGGGUACGGAAUAACAGUGAGAAAUUGCUGCUAAUACCGUAUGAUGUCUUCGGACCAAAGAUUUAUCGCCCAGGGAUGAGCCCGCGUAGGAUUAGCUGGUUGGUGAGGUAAAGGCUCACCAAGGCUACGAUCCUUAGCUGGUCUGAGAGGAUGAUCAGCCACACUGGGACUGAGACACGGCCCAGACUCCUACGGGAGGCAGCAGUGGGGAAUAUUGCACAAUGGGCGCAAGCCUGAUGCAGCAACGCCGCGUGAGGGACGACGGCC